rnacentral:rRNA from 1 species
GAUGAACGCUGGCUACAGGCUUAACACAUGCAAGUCGAGGGGAAACGACGGGGAAGCUUGCUUCCCCGGGCGUCGACCGGCGCACGGGUGAGUAACGCGUAUCCAACCUGCCUCUGACUGAGGGAUAACCCGUCGAAAGUCGGCCUAAUACCUCAUGGUAUCGUCUGCGGGCAUCCAACGACGAUUAAAGAUUUCAUCGGUCAGGGAUGGGGAUGCGUCUGAUUAGCUUGUUGGCGGGGUAACGGCCCACCAAGGCUACGAUCAGUAGGGGUUCUGAGAGGAAGGUCCCCCACAUUGGAACUGAGACACGGUCCAAGCUCCUACGGGAGGCAGCAGUGAGGAAUAUUGGUCAAUGGGCGAGAGCCUGAACCAGCCAAGUAGCGUGCAGGAAGACGGCCCUAUGGGUUGUAAACUGCUUUUAUGCGGGGAUAAAGUGAGGGACGUGUCCCUCAUUGCAGGUACCGCAUGAAUAAGGACCGGCUAAUUCCGUG